AAAAUGACAAGUUCAAUCUGUGUGGUCCUCUGUUUAGCCCUGGCAACAGUGGAGAUAACUGCAGCUGUGGAACUAGAAGGAAAACGGCAACGGCCUGACAGUGACACUGAGGCAGCUGAGGACUUAAAAGAUCUCCUCUACUCCUCAAUGCAUAACAUUGUCUCUCUGAACGACCUCGUGACAGAACUUUCUGAAAAGAUUGCUAAACUCACUAUAUCGUCCGCAGAAAACACGGCUGAAAUGAAGCUAUCAAAGGCGGAGACGACUCUAUCAAGGGCAGCACGAUC